rnacentral:rRNA from 1 species
AUACGUAGGUGGCGAGCGUUGUCCGGAUUUACUGGGCGUAAAGGGAGCGUAGGCGGACUUUUAAGUGAGAUGUGAAAUACUCGGGCUCAACCCGGGGGCUGCAUUUCAAACUUAAAGUCUAGAGUGCAGGAGAGGAGAGUGGAAUUCCUAGUGUAGCGGUGAAAUGCGUAGAGAUUAGGAAGAACACCAGUGGCGAAGGCGGCUCUCUGGACUGUAACUGACGCUGAGGCUCGAAAGCGUGGGGAGCAAACAGGAUUAGAUACCCCGGUAGUCCACGCCGUAAACGAUGAAUACUAGGUGUAGGAGUCACCAUGACCUCUGUGCCGCCGCUAACGCAUUAAGUAUUCCGCCUGGGGAGUACGGUCGCAAGAUUAAA